GUCUCUGAAAGUGUUGUAGGCCAGGUUGGAUGGGGCUCUGAGCAACCCGAUCUAGUGAGUGGCAUCUCUGCUGAUGGCAGGGGGGUUGGAACUAGAUGAUCUUUAAGGUCCCUUCCAACCCAGACCAUUCCAU